rnacentral:rRNA from 1 species
UAGGGAAUCUUCCACAAUGGACGAAAAUCUGAUGGAGCAACGCCGCGUGAGUGAAGAAGGGUUUCGGCUCGUAAAACUCUGUUGUUAAAGAAGAACAUAUCUGAGAGUAACUGUUCAGGUAUUGACGGUAUUUAACCAGAAAGCCACGGCUAACUACGUGCCAC